GAUGAACGCUAGCUACAGGCUUAACACAUGCAAGUCGAGGGGCAUCAGGAAGAAAGCUUGCUUUCUUUGCUGGCGACCGGCGCACGGGUGAGUAACACGUAUUCAACCUGCCCUUUACUCGGGGAUAGCCUUUCGAAAGAAAGAUUAAUACCCGAUGGGAUAAUGAUUCCGCAUGGUUUGAUUAUUAAAGGAUUCAGGUAAAGGAUGGGGAUGCGUUCCAUUAGGUUGUUGGUGAGGUAACGGCUCACCAAGCCUUCGAUGGAUAGGGGUUCUGCGAGGCAGGUCCCCCACAUUGGAACUGGGACACGGUCAAAACUCCUACGGUAGGCAGCAGUGAGGAAUAUUGGUCAAUGGGCGCGAGCCUGAACCAGCCAAGUAGCGUGAAGGAUGACUGCCCUAUGGGUUGUAAACUUCUUUUAUAUUAGAAUAAAGUGCAGUAUGUAUACUGUUUUGUAUGUAUAAUAUGAAUAAGGAUCGGCUAACUCCGUGCCAGCCGCCGCCGUAA
rnacentral:rRNA from 1 species